rnacentral:rRNA from 1 species
AGAACGAACGCUGGCGGCAGGCUUAACACAUGCAAGUCGAACGCUCGUAGCAAUACGGGAGUGGCAGACGGGUGAGUAACGCGUGGGAACAUACCCUCCGGUUCGGAAUAGCUCAGGGAAACUUGGAUUAAUACCGGAUACGGCUGAGAGGCGAAAGAUUUAUCGCCGGAGGAUUGGCCCGCGUUCGAUUAGCUUGUUGGUGAGGUAACGGCUCACCGAAGGCGACGACGGGUAGCC